GGGGAUGAAUUUGGUUUCGACGGGAAUACAGAUGUUUAAGACUGCAUUCCGCGUUCUCAGCAAGCGCGUUAAAAAGGCUGAAAGUCAAAAUAAACGACAAUAAUAAUUACGCUUUAGCUGCUUAAUAAAUAAGCCGCUCGUCUUUUACCGCCUCCACCGCUCAUUUGGAAGGUAAAAGGCGCCAAACUUUUGAGCUGGCCGCAAGGUUUACUUGAGCCAAACGGUGAGAUAACUUCAAGUGUAGGUUUUGUACCGCUAAUUCAGCGGGGCUGUGCAAAGCUGAAUUCCAAACGCUGAAUAUGAAUGUAGGCGUCUUAAUGGUCUUGUUUUCGGACCCGGGUUCGACUCCCGGCAUCUCCACUA
rnacentral:tmRNA from 2 species